UGGCGGACGGGUGAGUAAUGUCUGGGAAACUGCCUGAUGGAGGGGGAUAACUACUGGAAACGGUAGCUAAUACCGCAUAACGUCGCGAGACCAAAGAGGGGGACCUUAGGGCCUCUUGCCAUCGGAUGUGCCCAGAUGGGAUUAGCUAGUAGGUGGGGUAACGGCUCACCUAGGCGACGACCCCUAGCUGGUCUGAGAGGAUGACCAGCCACACUGGAACUGAGACACGGUCCAG
rnacentral:rRNA from 1 species